rnacentral:sRNA from 1 species
GGCGGUCUGCGCUUCCCGACAGGUAACCACAAUCCCCGGGGCCAUACACGAUCUCAAGGGAGCUGUCCCUGACCGGGCCCGUGGGUCCGGAUAUACGGCGCCCACCUACUUUGUAGGCACCCGGGAUCGUAAAAAAUACCAUCGGUCGUCGUGGAUCGCGC